rnacentral:rRNA from 1 species
UGCCCAGUGAUUAAGUUUAACGGCCGCAGUACACUGACUGUGCUAAGGUAGCAUAAUAAUUUGUCUUUUAAUUGAAGACUGGCAUGAAUGGAGUAAUGGGUAAGCACUGUCUUAAAUAAAACUGGAUAAAAAUUACUCAAAAGGUGAAAAGUCCUUUACUUUGUUUAGGUUAGACGAGAAGACCCUAAGAAUUAUGAAGAAUUCUUUUAGCGGAUAAAAGUUAUUUUUUGUUGGGGCAACAGGGUUAGAAGGUAAAACUGACUUUUUAAAGGAUAUGACUUUACUAACAUUAUUUUAUGUAAAGAAUUAAAUUACCUUAGGGAUAACAGCAUUAUUCAUUUAUGAGAAUAUGACCUCGAUGUUGGACUAGGAGACCCCUUAAUUAGGCAUAAGGGAGAAGGGUUCUGUUCGA